ACCUCCAGACUGGGCUAAGUGCUUCAUACACAUUUCUGUCAUUGGAUCAAGCUCCUAAAGGGCAGGGACUGGGUAAUAUUUCCCUGUGUAGUCUCAGCACCCAGUUACACACUGUGGGCUCCUGUUACACACAGCAGGUUCUCAGCAAUUGGGAUAUUGCAUUUGUACUUUCAGAUUACUAGCUGAUGCUCUCUAUUACCUACCACAGGGCAAUCAAUACCUAAGUAUGCCUUAGACCCAUUCUGGUGCUACCUAUUUAAAGAAGGCAGACUCCUAGACACCAACGGUUGUGUCUAUGGAACAUAUUUUGUCUAGCAACUUACGCACUUUGGGGUACUUAAUAACUUGAUGGAGUUGAAGAUGAUGACGGUGACAAUGACGUCAACCAGGACAGGAAACUGGAGAUGAUUAGACAUCCUUUAUUCUCCAAGGCUGUGUAGCUGCUUAAAACAGUUCUCGAUGAGUCACAGAAUGACAGCUCAUUUAUCUUGAAACCUUAACUAACCAGAAUACAGCAUGGACCCUCAGUCAGACACACUUCUGAGAAGCUGAAAUACGUAUCCGAAAGUUCACAUGCUUGUCCACACACAAGUUAAAGAGCUCCUUCAGUGUACAGGAGCUGCUUAGAAGGAGAAGACGAAGCCGAGGUUUUGUUCGAGUUGUUACAGUCCCAUGGUCAUUUCCGUAGUGGGUCAGCAAGUACAACCAAAGUAAAUCCAAAGAAGGGAAGGAUGAGAGCUACCUGGUUAUUUUUCAAAAAGAUGGGGCUUUGAAAUGGGAUUUAAAAAAAAGUUGGGAAGUAUUAAAGGGAAAAUCUUCCUGAAACCGGAUACUGAAGAAGGAAUGUACUGAAGGAAGACGGGGUGAAGAGUGGCCAGAAAAAAAAAAAGGUUAAUUUUAUAAAUAAUACCAAAGAGUUAAGUGGACAGAAUGAUGGGAAAGAAGCUAAAGUUUGGCCACUUAUCUGACCAUACCUGCAAAACUGGAAAUUUCACAACCUCAUCUCCAAGCUCACGUUCCUUCGUGGUGACAAGAGGGAAGUGAAGACUUUUAACCAGAUGGGAAAAGUUACCACAAUAUUUCCAAUACUGUGUUUCCACCAAAUAUUUCCAAACUGGCAUAGGAUAGAGGGCAUGAACCAGCUAUCACUGACUGGCUUGGCAUUUUUGUCAACCUGCCUGUAUUAAGAAACCUGUCUUGAAAAGAGCAUUUUUAUUAAAAGCUA
rnacentral:lncRNA from 1 species